rnacentral:rRNA from 1 species
CUAGCGACUUCAGAGUUUGAUCCUGGCUCAGGAUGAACGCUAGCUACAGGCUUAACACAUGCAAGUCGAGGGGCAGCAGGAGCAAAGCUUGCUUGCUUGCUGGCGACCGGCGCACGGGUGCGUAACGCGUAUCGAACCUGCCCUAUACUCGGGGAUAGCCUUGCGAAAGUAAGAUUAAUACCCGAUGUUGUUAUUACAUCGCAUGAUGUUUUAACCAAAGAUUUAUCGGUAUAGGAUGGCGAUGCGUGACAUUAGGUAGUAGGUGAGGUAACGGCUCACCUAGCCUACGAUGUCUAGGGGUUCUGAGAGGAAGGUCCCCCACACUGGAACUGAGACACGGUCCAG